CGUGGCAGAGCGCGGUAAUACGGAGGGUGCGAGCGUUAAUCGGAAUUACUGGCGUAAAGCGCAUGCAGUGGUUUGUUAAGUCAGAUGUGAAAGCCCGGGGCUCAACCUCGGGAAUAGCAUUGAAACUGGCAGACUAGAGUACUGUAGAGGGGGUAGAAUUUCAGGUGUAGCGGUGAAAUGCGUAGAGAUCUGAAGGAAUACCGGUGGCGAAGGCGGCCCCUGGACAGAUACUGACACUCAGAUGCGAAAGCGUGGGGAGCAAACAGGAUUAGAUACCCUGGUAGUCCACGCCGUAAAACGAUGUCUACUUGGAGGUUGUGGCCUUGAGCCGUGGCUUUCGGAGCUAACGCGUUAAGUAGACCGCCUGGGGAGUACGGUCGCAAGAUUAAAACUCAAAUGAAUUGACGGGGGCCCGCACAAGCGGUGGAGCAUGUGGUUUAAUUCGAUGCAACGCGAAGAACCUUACCUACUCUUGACAUCCAGAGAACUUUCCAGAGAUGGAUUGGUGCCUUCGGGAACUCUGAGACAGGUGCUGCAUGGCUGUCGUCAGCUCGUGUUGUGAAAUGUUGGGUUAAGUCCCGCAACGAGCGCAACCCUUAUCCUUGUUUGCCAGCGAGUAAUGUCGGGAACUCCAGGGAGACUGCCGGUGAUAAACCGGAGGAAGGUGGGGACGACGUCAAGUCAUCAUGGCCCUUACGAGUAGGGCUACACACGUGCUACAAUGGCGCAUACAGAGGGCGGCCAACUUGCGAAAGUGAGCGAAUCCCAAAAAGUGCGUCGUAGUCCGGAUUGGAGUCUGCAACUCGACUCCAUGAAGUCGGAAUCGCUAGUAAUCGUGGAUCAGAAUGCCACGGUGAAUACGUUCCCGGGCCUUGUACACACCGCCCGUCACACCAUGGGAGUGGGCUGCAAAAGAAGUAGGUAGUUAACCUUCGGGGGACGCUACCACUCGUAG
rnacentral:rRNA from 1 species